GGUGAGGAAGAGCCGAAGAACGUACACAAAGGGGAGGGCAGCUCGGCGGCGCUCUUAUACCAGCCUCCCCGCGCCGCUCUCCUUGCGCGCCGCUGCCGCCGGUGACUCACGGACGCCUGGGCGGCCUCUGGUUGGCUCGCGAGCGCCUCCAAUCCCAACCGGCUGCCCUAAUUUCCUGAUCCACGCAACCUGCCGCCGCAGCUGAGAGCGUUUCGCCCGGCAACCAGACGCUGCGUUGCUGCCUGCGCUCGCUCCCUCGGCCGAACCAGCGCCGCCGCCGCCUCUCUGGACCAGCUGCUGAGGAGGAGGAGGAGGCACGCAGGUGAAGUCUUUGAUCUGCCACCUCGCCUGCACGCUGUUUGAGGCUCUCGGCUCUUUGUGGGGCUGUGCAUGAUGGCAUUCAGGGCAUGAUCUUACUAUAUACAUGCCGCUGGUGUUAAUGUUGGCAUAGGCGCCAGCGUUAGAUGAUCCAAAGCGGGUUUUCAAGGAAGCGAUUUCCAACCCGCCUUGUUUUACUUCCAGGAAUUCACUAGAACAGCAACAGAAGUUGGAGCUAUGAGGAUAACUUCAGUAGGCUUGUCCUACCAUAACCAAAUUACAGCAAGUAACAACCAGCUCCCUCAGAGUGGAAAAACUGAGGCACUAAUAUUUGCAGGAACACAUUUAAAAUUCAAAACCAACAGGACAGGAAGACUGCAUGAUCUUUUAACUUCUGUGGAGAAAAUGUGUUAAAACAAAGAUGGGUGUUUCUUUUGAUGCAAAUACCGAGCUAUUUAAUUGUCUUCACCUACACAGUAUGAAUGGGGGCUUUUGCUGUUGUCACUGAAGUAUGAUAAUCCUUUUGGUGCUCGAGAAAAUUUCUAGGAAUACUGUGAACAGCCAAGAAAACAGAAAUGGAUCACCAAAGAAAUCAACCUAUAGGUCUUACUCGGGCACAAAUGACUACCUUCAAAUUAUCCUACUUUGGACACAUUGUGCAAAGAUGUAGCUUUUUAAGAAGGCUAUAUUACUGGGAAGGGGAGAAUGAAAUGGAAGAAGAGAAUGACCAGCAACAAAGUAGAAAAACCAGGUUAGGGACAAUCGUGAACAAAUUUUUUCCAAGUGUUGACACCUACUUGAUGACACAUCAAUUAAAUAUGCAUAUAGCAAAAUGAGAUGUUGUCUCCUUAUAACUGAGUGCUAUUUAGAUUGAUGGGACUUAUCCUCAGCAAAGUUUAUAGAAUUAUAUUUUGUAGCCGUAGUGGACAGAAUAUGUUCUCUCAGUAAUUGCCUUCAAUAUCUUCCCCACAAGUAGGUGUGUUAAUGGAGAUCAUGCACAUUUGUAAAAAGGAUUAACCAGGAGCAGCCUACAGUUUGAAAAAUAAGGUAGAACUCUGAGCACAGAUGGCUACGUGUCCUAAUAAUAGUUUAAACAGAGAGAUGCAAAAUAUUAGAUUAUAGUGAAAUAAUCCCUUAUCACAAAGGUCUGGAUCUGUUUUGAUGUUUACAUUAAAUGUAUUUGAGAAAUAAUGGAAAACCUGACCAAAUCUUCGCAAAUUGUUUAAAAAAGAAAAGAAUUAUUACAGCUAUUAAAUUAUUAGAGUUAAUAAGGGAUAAAAUAAGUUACAAUUCAUUUAGAGACAUAAAUUCUAAAAUCUGUACAGUCAGCCCGACAAUCUCAUGAGGAUACAGAGGCUUUUUUAACCAAAAUUGAUCACCUGCAAUUAGUAAUUAGCCCUAGGAAGAAGGCAAUGGCAAACUACUUUUAGAAAACCUUGCCAAGAAAACUACAAGAAAUUUGUCCUUGGAGAAUCAGACAUCCUUGAAGGGAAGAAAGAAAAUGGGAGAAGCUGUGUUAUAAUUUAAUAACGCUUAUAUUACAGUUAUUCCCAUCUAACUAACCUCAUAUUUUAACUUACAAUUAUCAGUUUAUUUCUUGAUUAAUGUCCAAAUAGUUAUUUCAGCAAAUAGAUUGCAAAAAGUUAUACCUUUGGUAAUUAAAAAUGAUUAAGUUAGCUUUUUAAAAAACAGACACUGAUCAGACAAUAUUCAACAUGGUAGAUUUGAUUAAUUUGAAUAGAAAUAAGGAGUUAUAUAGAAAUAGCAGUUAUAUCCUUGGGAUCUUGAAAAAGCAUUUGGCAAUAGGAAAAGAUAUUAACAUUAAUACCAAAAACUUCAAUGAAGUUUAAACUACAUCUUCUGCAACGAAAAUAAUAUUUCAGGCUUAUUGAUCAGUGUAGGAGUAAAUCAUCUUGCAACUGGAAAUCAAUGAGAUUAAUACUGUAAACACAGGUUUGUACAAUUGACUAUAGUUUAUCUUUCUGGGGGAAAAGUUAUUACUUGUAUUAACUGAACUGUAAGGAUGGAGUUUUAAUAUUCUCAACUGUUCAUCUUCCCUUUGCCAUACCUCUAUUGUAUGGAGAUUGACAUCUGACAAAGAAAUAUUAUCUAUCACACUUAUCUAACAUUGGAUGGAUAAAUAUAUGGCUCCAAUUACUCAGUGGUUUACAGAGUUGGUUUUAUUAACAACAGAUGAACCAAUUUCUUUUUGACAUAUAUUAAAUAUGGAUGAUUUUAAUGAAAUUUAGCUACUCUUUACUGAAAUUGUAAUUUUUAUAUAUUAAGAUGUAUCUACCAUAAAUAUACACCCUGUGGUUUUUAAUCUGUUUUUAUUCUUUAUAACUUACUGCAUUUAAUUAAUAGAGUAAUAAAAUACAUUACAUGA